rnacentral:rRNA from 1 species
AGCGAACGCUGGCGGCGUGCUUAACACAUGCAAGUCGAGUGCGCGUCUGUAGCAAUACAGAUGGCGCACGGCGCACGGGUGCGUAACACGUGGGCAAUCUGCCCUUCGAUGGGGAAUAACCUCGCGAAAGCGAGGCUAAUUCCGCAUAACAUUCCGAUGAUCUUGGUCAAUGGAUUCAAAGCCGUAAGGCGUCGAAGGAGGAGCCCGCGCACGAUAGCUAGUUGGUGAGGUAACGGCUCACCAAGGCUAUGAUCGUUAGCUGGUCUGAGAGGAUGGCCAGCCACACUGGAACUGAGACACGGUCCAGACUCCUACGGGAGCAGCAGUGGGAAUCUUGCACAAUGGGCGAAAGCCUGAUGCAGCGACGCCGCGUGGGGAUGAAGCUUUUCGGAGUGUAAACCCCUUUCGACCCGGACGAAUGCCUCGCAAGAGGACUGACGGUACGGGUAUAAGAAG